rnacentral:tmRNA from 1 species
GGGGGCGACCUGGUUUCGACAGGAUAAGGGGAAUUAGGACGGCAUACCAAGGGCAUCGGAUACCUUGUAAAUCCAUCCGUACCUAAACUCAAACGCCAAUCCAAAUAUGGCUUUUAGCUACAACUAGUAGCUACGUUCCCUUGCUUCAUGCUCUAUGGAGUAAGGAGGGCGUCAGAAAAUAGAGCUAGCUUACUCUCAAGCAGGUAAAGAGUAAGUGAAAUCGCACCUGCUAGUCUUCUUUUCAUCCCGUCUACAGGAGGAAAAGAAGACAAAAAGUAAAAUGUAGACUAAGUGUGAAGAUGUCCUAGCUUUUCUGUUCCUGGACGAGGGUUCGAUUCCCUCCGCCUCCACCA